rnacentral:tRNA from 1 species
GCCUGGGGGGCUCAGUUGGUUAAGCGUCUGACUUCGGCUCAGGUCAUGAUCUCGCAGUUUGUGGGUUCGAGCCCCGCGUCAGGCU